CCAGGGCAGCGAGCUGGCUAGGGUCGGGUAUACAAUACAGCUAGCUAGGUAGAGGAGCGACCGAGAGAAAUGGAACAUGGCAUCAUCUUUGUGAUGCUCCUGGCCAUGGCGGCCACCGUCGGAGCGCGGUCAGGAGCCACGGCGCAGCCAUCCUGCGUGCCCACUGCAGAUGGCGCCCCUCGCAUGCACGGUAAUACUACUACUACUUGCGAACUCUUCGGAACAGCUAGCUAUGUUUCGAUUGUUUCCUUGCUCUUUACUCGAUAUGAACAAAUUUCCGGGUGUUGUGCAGCCGGAGCAGUGCCCCCGUCGCUCGCCGCCAACUCGUCCCCGGCGCUUCAUCGUCUGCAUCGUCCGGCCAGAGGACUACCGACACGCCGAGCUCCGGCGGAUCAUGCCCCGCGGUCACUCGCCCGGCCGCUUCCUCGUCUGCCUCGUCCGGCUAGAGGACUACCGACGACACCAACUCCCGUGGAUCAUGAGCCGUGGUCACCGCCGCCGCCCGCCAUGCAAGGGUGAUUAGUUAUGAAAUUGCAGCCGUGCCUGCUUCUCAGUACGUUGCUGUUGAUCAUCACCUGGUCGCUUUAGUUUUCUGUACUCUGUCGUCCGGUCUAGUUCCAGUUUUUGCCAGCGUGCAAGUUCUAGUCUACAUUUUGCUUAAACAUCACUGUAAUAAGUUCUUUGUAGGCCUUUCAUCUAAAUUCGUGUCUUCUCUUGGA
rnacentral:lncRNA from 1 species